ensembl:snoRNA Y77E11A.21 ncRNA
AUUAUUAAAUAUGGGGGUGUGGCUCAACUGGGUAGAGACUAGGCUGUGGCUAUUAAGGUCAGAGGUUCGAACCCACACGGUGGGAAUUUCUUUU